rnacentral:rRNA from 1 species
GUUGAACGCUGGCGGCAGGCCUAACACAUGCAAGUCGAGCGGUAGAGAGAAGCUUGCUUCUCUUGAGAGCGGCGGACGGGUGAGUAAUGCCUAGGAAUCUGCCUGGUAGUGGGGGAUAACGUUCGGAAACGGACGCUAAUACCGCAUACGUCCUACGGGAGAAAGCAGGGGACCUUCGGGCCUUGCGCUAUCAGAUGAGCCUAGGUCGGAUUAGCUAGUUGGUGAGGUAAUGGCUCACCAAGGCGACGAUCCGUAACUGGUCUGAGAGGAUGAUCAGUCACACUGGAACUGGGACACGGUCCAGACUCCUACGGGAGGCAGCAGUGGGGAAUAUUGGACAAUGGGCGAAAGCCUGAUCCAGCCAUGCCGCGUGUGUGAAGAAGGUCUUCGGAUUGUAAAGCACUUUAAGUUGGGAGGAAGGGUUGUAGAUUAAUACUCUGCAAUUUUGACGUUACCGACAGAAUAAGCACCAGCUAACUCUGUGCCAGCCGCCGCGGUAA